rnacentral:rRNA from 1 species
UUUUGGACAAUGGGGGCAACCCUGAUCCAGCAAUGCCGCGUGAGUGAAGAAGGCCUUCGGGUUGUAAGGCUCUUUUGUCAGGGAAGAAACGGUGGGGGCUAAUAUCCUCUGCUAAUGACGGUACCUGAAGAAUAAGCACCGGCUAACUACGUGCCAGCAGCCGCGGUAAUACGUAGGGUGCAAGCGUUAAUCGGAAUUACUGGGCGUAAAGCGUGCGCAGGCGGUUGUGCAAGACAGAUGUGAAAUCCCCGGGCUCAACCUGGGAAUUGCAUUUGUGACUGCACGGCUAGAGUGUGUCAGAGGGGGGUAGAAUUCCACGUGUAGCAGUGAAAUGCGUAGAUAUGUGGAGGAAUACCGAUGGCGAAGGCAGCCCCCUGGGAUAACACUGACGCUCAUGCACGAAA